UUCCCCUUGAUAUAGAUUCCUGUUCCUCUGAAUUCUUUUCCAAGGCCAUUGAACGUGUUAGUCAGCAGUAUGUAGCAGGUUUUUACACUGGAUUAUUCGUUUUAAUUUGUAGUGACUGAUGAGUACUCAAAGUUUUGGGGCUUGUCUGAUCUUGUUCCACAACUGAAAUUUCAUUGUGUUAGGAAACUCUUUCUUAUGCUAAAAGAACUGUACUGAUUGAGGACCUUCCACAAUUUGCUCGUUCUUUUCGUACAAAGCUAUUUUGCUAUUCCCAUCUUUCUCUCUCUCUCUCUCAAGUGUAACAGUUGGGGACUUUGUACAGUUUUUUGGUUCCUUCGAGGCCAAGCAAUUUUGUGUUGCGCUCUCUCUCUCUCUCUCUCUCUUUCACACACACACAGAUCCUCCUUCUUGCUGUUUGCAAAAUCAUGAUGUAACUUGAUCAACCUUGUUGGGGCCUGUCUGUUAAAAAGAUUAAAAAAAGCAUUCCUUCUUGUUUAUAAUCGAGUCUUGUGUCUGACCAUUUCUUACUCAAGGUUGAAGGCCUGAUAUGAGAAAGCUUAAAAAGGUGUGAUCAUAAAGAGUUCAAUCAUCUUGUCUGCCAUUUUACUGAAAAUGGGAGGAAAAAGACAAACAUGAAUUAUAAAAUAAGGAGGGCAUAACAGUGGUUGAAAAAGCUGAUGAAAUUGAUUUGCAGACGACUGCCUUUUUCACUAGAACAGGAAGAUCUGGCCUCUCCUUUUCAGCUUUUAGCCCUUCCUAACUUAGUGUAAGUUUAUGCCCAGGUAGCUGAAGAGUCUGAAAGAGUCACGAUUACCUGAUUUCACUUCAUCUGUGAAGGCGACACAGGAAAACUAGAUAGUACCACAGCGAAACAAUUACUGGAUCUCUCUUAAAAGCAGACUGUAGUGACUUCAACUGAAUUUACACUUGCAAAGCAAAUUUGGUAAUUGGUCCAGGGAUGCAUCACGCUUCUGCUUCUCAUGUAUCUCAAUUUGACUUGUGAACAUCACUGCUUGAGCUCUACUGUAUGUCCUUUCGGGGAAGUAUCUCCGGAAGAGGACGUAGAAGUGGUGAACCAUCUACGAGAUGAUAUGCAAGUGAUGAUCUGUUGAUGUCCGAUAGCGAACGAGUUGUGUGCAAAACAUGUAAAUUUAGGUUUAAACCAUUAGUAUAGGAUUCUGUGAACAAUAGACCUUGUUUUGGACCUGAAUGUCACUCUCCAAAUUACUUUAUCCAAAUUAAGAAAUGAGGAAAGAUGAAGAAUGAAACUUGUACGUCUUUUCUUGUCUAUUGAAUAGAACGUUCAGUUUGUGUUGCUUAGAA